CAGGAACAUCUACCUUCUUCUGAAAAGGGUACACAGGAAACCUGUAGUUUUUUCAGGAAAUGUUAGCCUUCAUGAAUCUUCAUGGGACCUACUAGAAAAGCUUUCAGACUUCCUCCCCCAAUCCGCUAUGGGCUUGAGAUCACUGGUUUAUUCAUCAUAUAUUUUGCAAAGUCAUCUGGUAGCAAGUGUGGUUAUAAAGAUAAUGAACAGGCCACAGGUUAAACUGAGUCUGUCCUAAUUUGAAAUGAAGCUAUAUCACUUCAUCCUUCCCUACUGCAUUGACUGAACCCCUUUUCAAAUGCCUUAUCCUCUGCUACUAUUCCAGCAACCCUCACUUUAUUAACUAGGAAUCCGUAGUAAACUUUGUAAACAGUAAACAUCUUUGCCAAGACCCACUAAUAGUGGUCAUGACAUGAGACUUAAAAAUAAAUUUAAGACUCAGCUGAAC